AAUUGCAUGCCUGUAAUAAACCCAGGAGUUCUGCACUGGUUUUCAUAAUGUGGCUUACUGAAUGCUGCGGCAGUGAUGCCUGAAGAGAACUUCAUGUAGAAACUCAGAGCUUUUCUCCAUACUCGGUGACCGGGGACAGCACUGAGCUGACCAAUGCAACACCACAGCUGUUCUGUAAGUGACUUUGCUAUCAUUCUCCACGACCAUUCCAGCAUUGCUCAGUGGAUAUUGCAUCGGGGAGAGCUUUGUGCUGGCAAACAGAAACCAAAGAAAUAAACACCUCUGUGCAAUGUUUUUCCUUCAAGGUGCAGGUUACCAGGCCAGCGAGGAUGUGCUGUAAACAUCCGCCACAGUGCUUUAGGAGCAAAGUAGGUGGUGAGCCUCAGCUGUUCUCCUGGGAUGGGGGCACUUCAGCAGGUCCUGCCCGGGCUGACGUGCUGCAGUCACAACAUCUGCCAUUGAGCAAUCGCUGUCUAAGCCCUGCUGCUCUUGCACAUCCUGCACUCCCACUGCUACUUCUUCAUUUCUCAGUUUUGUUUGUUCCCCGCUGAUCAUUUUACAGGGCCUUCUAAUAAACUCUCACGCCCUG
rnacentral:lncRNA from 7 species